CUACGGGAGGCAGCAGUGGGGAAUUUUCCGCAAUGGGCGAAAGCCUGACGGAGCAAUACCGCGUGAGGGAAGACUGCCUAUGGGUUGUAAACCUCUUUUUUCAGGGAGGAAUAAAUGACGUGUACCUGAAGAAUAAGCAUCGGCUAACUCCGUGCCAGCAGCCGCGGUAAGACGGAGGAUGCAAGUGUUAUCCGGAAUCACUGGGCGUAAAGCGUCUGUAGGUGGUUUAAUAAGUCAACUGUUAAAUCUUGAGGCUCAACUUCAAAAUCGCAGUCGAAACUAUUAGACUAGAGUAUAGUAGAGGUAAAGGGAAUUUCCAGUGGAGCGGUGAAAUGCGUAGAUAUUGGAAAGAACACCGAUGGCGAAAGCACUUUACUGGGCUAUUACUAACACUCAGAGACGAAAGCUAGGGUAGCAAAUGGGAUUAGAUACCCCAGUAGUCCUAGCCGUAAACAAUGGAUACUAGAUGUUGAACAGAUCGACCUGUGCAGUAUCAAAGCUAACGCGUUAAGUAUCCCGCCUGGGAAGUAUGCUCGCAAGAGUGAAACUCAAAU
rnacentral:rRNA from 1 species